UGAAAAACAUCUUCGUCUAUUCUAGAAAUAUCCUAAGUAAAUGCAGUUCAUCAUUUUCUGCAACUGAAUUAAUGACUUGCAAUAAAAGGACUGAUGAAUUCAUAUGACAUAGUGGAGAUUAUAACAGAAUAAUAAAAUGCUUGGGCCUGACCUUUCAUGCAUAAUUGUAGAGCUGUCUCAGUAACAUUUUACGAUCCGACAUGCUCCACCUGGUUCUUAACACAAUGUUUGCUGUGGAUCUGUGAGAAGAUGAGUCAAGCAGAAGUUCAAUACAUAUAUUUGCAUAGGGAGGACAAUAGCUUCAGAUUGCUUUCGUGCUUAUUCAUCCUGAAAGGACAAACCAGAGGAGGAGCAGGGAUUGAGUGCUCACUUGCUGGCUGGCUGUUUUAGCAGGUAGAGCACAGAGAAGACAAGACCCAGAAUCUAUAAGAGAGACCCUGCUGCCAGGGAAAUUCCAGUGCGAAAAGCUGAGUGAAUUAGAGACAAAUUAGGCCUGCUCUAGAUUAACCAAUUCUGUUCUCCUGAUGUACUCAUAAGGAACAGACUGGGCAACCACCCACUGCAUGAGAGGAGUGAAAUCCAUGAAAUUCAUGAUCAUCUUCGGUGUGGUAUGGACAGGAAAACACAAGGAACUGAAACUGUAAGCUGUUAAGGGAAGUCUGGAUCUGAAUGAAUACUGUAUGACUUAUUUCUUAUACAAAUAAAAUACAGCUCUUCAGUGAGCACAUUCCAGGCAAUUUUAGAAUGUGUAUGUUUGUUCCCUGUUGUGUAAAUGAACUGAGAAAUGUCACUGUCAAUGGGAAU